rnacentral:rRNA from 1 species
UAGGGAAUCUUCCACAAUGGACGAAAGUCUGAUGGAGCAACGCCGCGUGAGUGAAGAAGGUUUUCGGAUCGUAAAGCUCUGUUGUUGGUGAAGAAGGAUAGAGGCAGUAACUGGUCUUUAUUUGACGGUAAUCAACCAGAGAGUCACGGCUAACUACGUGCCA